rnacentral:rRNA from 1 species
CGCGAGCGGGGGCGGAGCGGCCCGUGGUGCAGAUCUUGGUGGUAGUAGCGAUCACCCAGGCGAGAACCCUGAGGGCCGAAGUGGAGAAGGGUUUCUCGAGAACGGCACUCGCUCGAGAGUUAGUCGAUCCUAAGCUGCCGGCGGCAGCCACGAAACGGUCGAUCGGGCGCGAGCCCGGCAGCCACGACCGGGCAGCGAAAGGGAAUUGGGAACCUCCUUCCCAAAACCCGGAACCGGAACGAGGGCGGCGACGCGAACGAAACGGCCGCGGAGACGGCGGCCGCGGCCCCGGAGAGAGUUCUCUUUUCUGUGCGACUGGACGUCGGCCCCGGAAUCGCGUCGAGCGGAGGGGGGUCGGAGUUCAGGAAUAGCACCCCGGCCUUUCGGGGUGUCCGGGCGGCCGCGGUCGUCCCAUGAAAAUCCGCGGAUGAACGAGUAGGCGACGGUCCGGGUCGGUACCAAUGACCGCAUCGGGUCUCCGAAGGUUGAAAGCCUCUGGCUAACGGG